rnacentral:lncRNA from 1 species
GGCUGGGUGGUGGCGGGCUGGGCGGUGGCGAAGGUGGAGGAGAAGGAGCAUCCGGUGGUGGUGGAGGUGGUAGGUCGGGCGGUGGGGGCGGCGGCGGUGGUGGGGAGCUGUCAGGUGGCGGAGGAGGGGGCGGAGGCGGAGGGCUGCCGAAGAAAACUGCUGGUGGAGGGGGUGGAGGAGGGUCGGGCGAAGGAGGAAGCGGGGUGCCUGGAGGUGGUGGAGAAGGCAAUCCAGGAGGAGGGGGAGGGGGCGCGCCGGGUGGAGGUGGAGGUGGAGGAGAUGGCGGUGGAGGGAUCGGUCCGUCCGGAGGCGGAGGCGGGGGCGGUGAAGGUGGGGGCGGACUCGGAGGCGGAAGGUUGGGAGGUGGCGGCGGAGGCGGGGACGGCGGAGGAGGAAAGGGGGGAGGCGUGUCGGGUGGAGGCGGUGACGGUGGAGGGAAUGAGGGGCCAUCGGGAGGAGGCGGAGGAGGAGGUGAAGGCGGAGGCGGCAAUGGGGGAGAAGGUGAAGGCGGAGGACGCGAGGGAGGAGAAGGCGAAGGUGGUUCCGGACUCGGCGGCGGCAUUCCAGGCGGCGGAGGCGGAGGCGGAGGUGAAGGAGGAGGUGGUAUGGGGCCAUCCGGCGGCGGGGGCGGUGGAGGAGGAGGCGAGGGAGGAGGGGGGGACGGCGGCACGGGGCUCGGCGGAGGCGCGUCGGGUGGAGGUGGAGGAGGAGGCGACGGCGGCACAGGGCUCGGCGGAGGCGCGUCCGGAGGAGGCGGAGGAGGAGGCGAUGGCGGCACAGGGCUCGGCGGAAGCGCGUCCGGUGGAGGCGGAGGAGGAGGCGACGGCGGCUCAGGGCUCGGCGGAGGCGCGUCGGGUGGAGGUGGAGGAGGCGGCGACGGCGGCACAGGGCUCGGCGGAGGCGCGUCGGGUGGAGGUGGAGGAGGAGGCGACGGCGGCACAGGGCUCGGCGGAGGCGCGUCCGGAGGAGGUGGAGGAGGAGGCGACGGCGGCUCAGGGCUCGGCGGAGGCGCGUCCGGCGGAGGCGGAGGAGGAGGCGACGGCGGCACAGGGCUCGGCGGAGGCGCGUCCGGAGGAGGCGGAGGAGGAGGCGAUGGCGGCACAGGGCUCGGCGGAAGCGCGUCCGGUGGAGGCGGAGGAGGAGGCGACGGCGGCUCAGGGCUCGGCGGAGGCGCGUCGGGUGGAGGUGGAGGAGGCGGCGACGGCGGCACAGGGCUCGGCGGAGGCGCGUCGGGUGGAGGUGGAGGAGGAGGCGACGGCGGCACAGGGCUCGGCGGAAGCGCGUCCGGUGGAGGCGGAGGAGGAGGCGACGGCGGCUCAGGGCUCGGCGGAGGCGCGUCGGGUGGAGGUGGAGGAGGCGGCGACGGCGGCACAGGGCUCGGCGGAGGCGCGUCGGGUGGAGGUGGAGGAGGAGGCGACGGCGGCACAGGGCUCGGCGGAGGCGCGUCCGGCGGAGGCGGAGGAGGCGGUGAAGGCGGCAUAGGGCUCGGUGGAGGCGCGCCGGGUGGAGGUGGAGGAGGAGGCGACGGCGGCUCGGGGCUUGGCGGAGGCGCGUCGGGUGGAGGUGGAGGAGGAGGCGAAGGCGGCACGGGGCUCGGCGGAGGCGCGUCGGGUGGAGGCGGAGGAGGAGGCGACGGCGGCACGGGGCUCGGCGGAGACGCGUCUGGUGGAGGCGGAGGAGGCGAUGGCGGCUCGGGGCUUGGCGGAGGUGCGUCCGGCGGAGGCGGAGGAGGAGGCGACGGCGGCUCGGGGCUUGGUGGAGGCGCGUCGGGCGGAGGCGGAGGAGGAGGCGACGGCGGCACAGGGCUCGGCGGAGGCGCGUCCGGAGGAGGCGGAGGAGGAGGCGACGGCGGCAUAGGGCUCGGUGGAGGCGCGUCGGGUGGAGGUGGAGGAGGAGGCGACGGCGGCUCGGGGCUCGGCGGAGGCGCGUCGGGCGGAGGCGGGGGAGGAGGCGAAGGCGGCUCAGGGCUUGGCGGAGGUGCGUCGGGCGGAGGCGGAGGAGGAGGCGAUGGCGGCUCAGGGCUCGGCGGAGGUGCGUCCGGAGGAGGCGGAGGAGGAGGCGACGGCGGCACAGGGCUCGGCGGAGGCGCGUCGGGUGGAGGUGGAGGAGGAGGCGAAGGCGGCUCGGGGCUCGGCGGAGGCGCGUCGGGUGGAGGCGGGGGAGGAGGCGAAGGCGGCUCGGGGCUUGGCGGAGGUGCGUCGGGCGGAGGCGGAGGAGGAGGUGAAGGCGGCUCGGGGCUCGGCGGAGGCGCGUCCGGCGGAGGUGGAGGAGGAGGCGAAGGCGGCUCGGGGCUUGGCGGAGGUGCGUCCGGCGGAGGCGGAGGAGGAGGCGAUGGCGGCUCGGGGCUCGGCGGAGGCGCGUCGGGUGGAGGUGGAGGAGGAGGCGACGGCGGCACAGGGCUUGGCGGAGGCGCGUCCGGCGGAGGUGGAGGGGGAGGCGAAGGCGGCUCGGGGCUUGGCGGAGGUGCGUCCGGCGGAGGCGGAGGAGGAGGCGAUGGCGGCACAGGGCUCGGCGGAGGCGCGUCAGGUGGAGGCGGAGGAGGAGGCGACGGCGGCUCGGGGCUUGGCGGAGGCGCGUCGGGUGGAGGCGGAGGGGGCGAUGGCGGCUCGGGGCUUGGAGGUUCAGGUGAUGGAGGGUCAGAGAUAGCACAUGACUUCUGUGCCUGCCCAGACAGGCACGAUAAACGGUCUGACGUUGCAAGUGUGUCUGUGCUUCCCUGAACACU